GAUGAGCGGCUAGCGAUAGGCUUAACACAUGCAAGUCGAGGGGUAACGAUGGGAGUAGCUUGCUACUUCUGAUGACGACCGGCGGAUGGGUGAGUAACGCGUAUGCAACUUGCCUCUUAGUGGGGAAUAACCCGGAGAAAUCCGGACUAAUACCGCAUACACUUAGUUAUCCGCAUAGAUGAUUAAGGAAAGAUUUAUUGCUAAGAGAUAGGCAUGCGUUCCAUUAGUUAGUUGGUGAGGUAACGGCUCACCAAGGCAUCGAUGGAUAGGGGAGCUGAGAGGCUUAUCCCCCACAUUGGGACUGAGACACGGCCCAA
rnacentral:rRNA from 1 species